GAAGAUUUGAUUGAGCCUUAUUGUUGACAGCACAUCUGUCUGGAGCAGCUGCAGGGGCCAGGCACUAUUCCGGGUACUGUGGGCAGAAGUGGAAUGAGAGACGUAGCAGAGGCUCCCGCAAGGUUUAUGGUCAAGGUGGGAAGGCAGGAUAGACACAUGGAACCGAAAUAUGUCUUCAUUCGUCAGAACUCUGGGCUGCAAAUGACUGAUACCUACUCAACUAGCUUAGGCAAACAGGACGUUGAUGAUGAGAAUGCUGCCUACAGAAGCAUGGCCAGGAGGCAAGCUCAGGGAGGAGCAGCUCUACAGGAUUUGAGAACUCAGUGCGGGGGCUGCUGGUCAACCCACUCCGAGCUAUUGGAAAUCUCAGAGGCUAUGUACGGUUCCUGAUGUGAUCCCAGAAUGCUAGAAACCCAACACUGUAAGGCUUUAAACGCUGUCUGUGCUGUGAGCAAUCGAAGCACUUUGAACUUCCUCUACCGUAACAGCCGUCCCACUUCACUAUAAGAUCUUGCUUAUAUAUAAUAAACUAAACUCCACCAAGGCA
rnacentral:lncRNA from 13 species